GGUUGGCAGGUCUUCAAUAAAAAUAUUGGAAGAAAAAUCAACGCAAAAGAAAUAUGGAAAUCAUAAAAUAUUUUUCUAUAGCAUGGAGUCCUACUGCACCAUAAGAUCAAGACCUACUCUUACCUUCCUGUGUAAGCCACCCCUCCCAUCUGUUUUUGAAAGAGCAUUUGGUGGCUUUUGGUUUCCAAGGACUCACGCCCUACUGCAUGGAAGAGCUCUGAUAUGGAAGGAGUUGGGUCCCUGCAUCACUGCAGGAGGAAAUCUGCCCAUCUAUCAGAAACCCUUCAUUGGAUUGUUAAAUGAGUAUAAAUUAACUCCUAUUGUAUUAAGCCAUUGAUGUUUUAUAAUUCACUUAAAGCUACUAAUAAUUUAACAUUCUUCUCAUUCAACAGGGAAUAUUUCAGAAAAUUUUUAGAAUUCCCUGUGUCUCUACCUUAGACAGAGCGAACAUCCAUUUCUGCUGAACUCUACAACCAAAAGAGUGGCAAAUGAUUGUGCAUAGAUUAUUCAGCCUCCCGAGGGUUAAUUACUCUGAUACUUGUGCCUGGGGAAAACACACAAAAAUCAGGAAAGAAGUUGCUUCCAUUCUCUCCCUUCAAAACUGUGCAUUGCAAAGAAUAAUAAAGACCAUUUCGAAAAUUUGCUCA
rnacentral:lncRNA from 12 species